AGAGCGAACGCUGGCGGCAGGCCUAAUACAUGCAAGUCGAACGGAUCCUUCGGGAUUAGUGGCGGACGGGUGAGUAACACGUGGGAACGUGCCCUUUGGUUCAGAACAACUCAGGGAAACUUGAGCUAAUACUGGAUAAGCCCUCAUCCUUAAACAGAUGAGUGGGAAAGAUUUAUCGCCAUUGGAGCGGCCCGCGUCUGAUUAGCUAGUUGGUAGGGUAAAGGCCUACCAAGGCUUCGAUCAGUAGCUGGUCUGAGAGGAUGAUCAGCCACACUGGGACUGAGACACGGCCCAGACUCCUACGGGAGGCAGCAGUAGGGAAUCUUGCGCAAUGGGCGAAAGCCUGACGCAGCCAUGCCGCGUGAAUGAUGAAGGUCUUAGGAUUGUAAAAUUCUUUCAGCGGGGACGAUAAUGACGGUACCCGCAGAAGAAGCCCGGCUAACUUCGUGCCAGCAGCCGCGGU
rnacentral:rRNA from 1 species